UACACUCCUACGGGAGGCAGCAGUGGGGAAUAUUGGACAAUGGGCGAAAGCCUGAUCCAGCAAUGCCGCGUGAGUGAUGAAGGCCUUAGGGUUGUAAAGCUCUUUUACCCGGGAUGAUAAUGACAGUACCGGGAGAAUAAGCCCCGGCUAACUCCGUGCCAGCAGCCGCGGUAAUACGGAGGGGGCUAGCGUUGUUCGGAAUUACUGGGCGUAAAGCGCGCGUAGGCGGCUUUGUAAGUUAGAGGUGAAAGCCCGGAGCUCAACUUCGGAAUUGCCUUUAAGACUGCAUCGCUAGAAUCGUGGAGAGGUGAGUGGAAUUCCGAGUGUAGAGGUGAAAUUCGUAGAUAUUCGGAAGAACACCAGUGGCGAAGGCGACUCACUGGACACGUAUUGACGCUGAGGUGCGAAAGCGUGGGGAGCAAACAGGAUUAGAAACCCCAGUAGUCCCAUGA
rnacentral:rRNA from 1 species